AAGGACAGUUAGGUAGUAAAUAUAAGUUUAUUAAUCUAUUAUAAAAAAGUAAAAUUUGUAUAUAAAUAGUUAAUUUAAUAAUAACUUUCAUAUGCUGAAGCUGUGAUAAUUUUGAGGGAAACUGGGAUUUGAUACCCCAUUAUUCAUAACUGUAAAUUGAAUUAUUCACCAAAGUACUAUGAAUAACAUAAUAAUAUUUAAAACUUAAAGAGCUUGGCGGUGUUUUAGACCAAUCAGGGGAACCUGUCUCAUAAUCGAUAAUCCACGCURUACCUAAUCCUUUAUUGUAAYUCAGUUUGUAUACCGUCGUCGGCAGGUAACUUUUAAAAAUUUGAAAGUUAGCAAAAUAAUUUUUUGAAUUAAUACGUCAGAUCAAGGUGCAACCAACAAAAGGAUGAGGAUGGGUUACAAUUGUAAAAUUAUAAUUACGGAUAAUUAGAUGAAAAUAUAGUUUUAAGGAGGACUUGAAAGUAAAACAGAAUAUAUAAACAUUUUGAAUAUGGCUCUGAAACGUGUACAAACCGCCCGUCGCUCACGUUGAAAAAGGAGAUAAGUCGUAACAUAGCAGGGGUAAUGGAAAUUGUUCCUAAGUU
rnacentral:rRNA from 1 species